UGCCCUCCGAGCGCCUCCGCGGGCGCUGCGAGCCCGGGCAGGACCUCGUGCUCGUCAAGUGUGGGCAACUGUCUUCCGCGUCCUACAGGGGGAAGCCCCUUCCCCGAGGAACCGCCGUGCCUUUGCCACCCAAGCCUCCGUGCAGGCGGCUUCCAGAACGUUCCGGCUAUUCCCCCCCGCUGAGCCCGGGGAAAGGCAGCUCGAGGCCAACCGAGCUCCUCGUGCCGGUUUCUGGAGGCUGGAGGAGAAACCCACAGCGGAGUGUGGGCUCAGAAGGAGCGGAAUCAUUAUCGAAACCCCAAAUAGCACGGCUCUAACUCCCACUUGUGUCUCGUGUUUAGGAUUGCAGUGAUGUGGAGAGCCGGAGGUGCCCCGGUGGCGCGGGGAUGGAGUCAGGAGAUGCCCAGGAGGAGGAUAUCGCCUCAUCUGCUGCUCCCAACAAGCCCAGGCCACCUGGCAUGGGAGGGCGCGGGCACAGCAGCGUGUGAGUCACCUCGGACACGCAGCUGCUCAGAUCACUGUGAGCCAGACUGUAUACAAGACCGAACAGCUCCUAGUCUUCAACCAGGAGUUGAAGUAAUUUUCAACAGGACGCUCAGCCAAUGUGAAAAGGGGUAAUAACAAGGCAGAUAUACAUAAAGCAAUAAAUGGGAAGAAAAUAUUUGGGAAUUUAAGCAGAUGCAGCUACAACCAGUUCAUCUGUUGAUGCAUGAGUGUUAUGUUUCAUUUUCAAGUGCUGUUUAACCAGUAAGGCAUUGGAAACAAUGCAGUUAUACGUAGUAAAAUGUUUUCUUUUGCCAUUUCCUGAUUUGGAAAUAUCCUUCUAGAUUUUCAGGAUGUUUCCCCUGAAUUCUUCAGGUUCAUCUUGCUAUCAUGUGAGCAAUUUCAGAAGACACAUUCCCUAGCUAACACACAUCUCCUUGCAGUUGUACACUGCACAACAUUUAUAAUUAAGCCUCUUAGGAAGUGUUCACUGCACGGCCCAUGAUUAACUUCCCUUCAUUCUUCAUUGUUGAAGCUCAGCACGGAGAUCUCUGGAGUAAUCACUCCACCUUUCCAGCCUAAAAUGCCAAACUGCAUCAUAGUUUACAAGUCAGUGUGCACUACAAUAUCGUCCCAGCAUGGAAAGGACGUGUUGAUGCCUUUAUCACAGUCUAACAGGCAAUACAGGCUGAUCCAAGGAAAGUAUUCUCUCAGCAGAUGAGCUAGAUAAAGCAGCUCAUCAGAGGCUGUUGACACACAGCAUGGCAUCUAUAAUUAAGCCACUAGGGAAGAAGGGAUGGGACGACGUAACAAAGGUAGGGUCCAGUUUGCACACAGCUUUCAGCAGAUCCCAAAAUGUGAGCUAAGUGUGUAUUAUAAAUUUGUCAAAUAACGGUGAGGAAAAGGGCGUAGAGGGUGCAGUGUUCUUUAAACAUGUUUGCUAGGUAUAUUUUGAUGGUGUCCCACCAUGGCUCUGCUCUCUUUGUGUCUUCUUUCAGACAAAAGCUGUGUGAAGGAGAGGUGUCUGUGUUGGAAGUGUGAUAAUGAAUGGCACAUUGAGAACACAACCAGCUCAUAAUAACUGUAACGACUGGUGUUCCCUGUUCUGCAGGAUGGGGAGGGAGAGUGUCUCCAGUGCAUAGAAGUCAGUUCUUGAGCUGGACAGUUCUGUAAGCUGUAUCGGUGUCACGGUGCUGAGGGCACUGGUUGUGGUGCUGGAAGAAGAUUCCUCCAUCUCUCUGACACAACUCUAACACAGCAGUGUGUUAAAUACACUGUCCGUGCAUGGGGAUGAACGAUGAGAUAGAUGCACUACAGAGAAAAAUAAAGAAACUGUUACAUGAA